CCUACGGGUGGCUGCAGUGGGGAAUUUUGGACAAUGGGCGAAAGCCUGAUCCAGCAAUGCCGCGUGCAGGAAGAAGGCCUUCGGGUUGUAAACUGCUUUUGUACGGAACGAAACGGUCUGCCCUAAUACGGCGGGCUAAUGACGGUACCGUAAGAAUAAGCACCGGCUAACUACGUGCCAGCAGCCGCGGUAAUACGUAGGGUGCGAGCGUUAAUCGGAAUUACUGGGCGUGAUGCGUGAGAAGGUUGUUAAAUCCCCGGGCUCAACCUGGGAAUUGCAUCUGUGACUGCAUAGCUAGAGUACGGUAGAGGGGGAUGGAAUUCCGCGUGUAGCAGUGAAAUGCGUAGAUAUGCGGAGGAACACCGAUGGCGAAGGCAAUCCCCUGGACCUGUACUGACGCUCAUGCACGAAAGCGUGGGGAGCAAACAGGAUUAGAUACCCCUGUAGUC
rnacentral:rRNA from 1 species